GGGUGCGAUCAUACCAGCACUAAUUCACCGGAUCCCAUCAGAACUCGGAAGUUAAACGUGCUUGGGCGAGAGUAGUACUAA
rnacentral:rRNA from 1 species